rnacentral:rRNA from 1 species
AUUGAACGCUGGCGGCAGGCCUAACACAUGCAAGUCGAGCGGAUGAAGGGAGCUUGCUCCUGGAUUCAGCGGCGGACGGGUGAGUAAUGCCUAGGAAUCUGCCUGGUAGUGGGGGAUAACGUCCGGAAACGGGCGCUAAUACCGCAUCCGUCCUGAGGGAGAAAGCGGGGGCUCUUCGGACAUCACGCUAUCAGAUGAGCCUAGGUCGGAUUAGCUAGUUGGUGGGGUAAAGGCCUACCAAGGCGACGAUCCGUAACUGGUCUGAGAGGAUGAUCAGUCACACUGGAAGUGAGACACGGUCCAGACUCCUACGGGAGGCAGCAGUGGGGAAUAUUGGACAAUGGGCGAAAGCCUGAUCCAGCCAUGCCGCGUGUGUGAAGAAGGUCUUCGGAUUGUAAAGCACUGUAAGUUGGGAGGAAGGGCAGUAAGUUAAUACCUUGCUGUUUUGACGUUACCAACAGAAGAAGCACCGGCUAACUACGUG